rnacentral:tRNA from 1 species
GCAGUGGUGGUUCAGUGGUAGAAUUCUUGCCUUCUAUAGAGGAGACCCAGGUUUGAUUCCUGGCCAGCGCA